AUUUAGAAAAUAUUUCCCCAAAUCAUAAACCCUUAUUAUUUUCCCCAAUUCUUCCGCGAAAUCUCCAUCUCCAAUCUGAUCGUCUUCCAUCUCCAAUCCGACCAUCUUCCGGCCUCGUCACCAUUCGCCCCUACUCCUGGCCGUCUGUUCACUCUGGCGUGGUCAUCUAUUCGCUCCGAUGUGUCCAUCAUUUUCGUCUUCUCCAGCGCUGCCAUUCGUGCCCGCCGUCACCUCCUCUGGCGAGAUGAGUCUUGAAGAAGCGAUAGGAUACGUUGCAUCUGAUGAACUCAUUAAGGGAGAUGGCUGUUGAAUUUCGAUCUAGAGAUUCUGACCUAUGGAAGCACAUUUAUGCAAAUGAGUACAUGAAAUGUGAAGUGAUAGAGUGUUGUGAAUCUUUAAAAAAUGUCCUGAAUGUUCUGGCAGUUGGAGAAAAUGAGAAAAUGUUCCAAGCUACAUUCCUACUUAUUGAACCAAACAUCAUCAAAUAAUCAUAGUUCUUUCCUUUUUGUCAGUUGCAGUUUUUUUUUUUUUUUUUUUUUUUUGUCGACUUUGACACUUGAACAAGUUUUUUUUUUUAUGAGGAUAUAUUAAGAAUCUUGCUUUUAAGGCUUCCUCUUUUCUCUCUCGCUUUAUUUGAAUGAUAGUAAAUGGUUCAAAUUAGUUUAUUACAACAAUGAUUUGUAUGUAGUUUCAUUUAUAAUGUCAAUAUAUCAAAAUUCUUGAUUAAUUGACUGCAGUUCAAAGAAAGUGUUAAACAAUUUGCUCAAGAUAACAUUGCUCCCCAUGCCACAAAAAUUGAUCAACCCAACUCUUUUCCAAAUGUCAGUUGGAAGUCCUUCUCUAUAUGUUUAAUGAGUUGCUAUAUGAUUUGACUAAAAUGUAUUGUAUUGUAGGAUGUUAACUUAUGGAAGCUCAUUCGGGACUUCGAUCUCCAUGGAAUUAGAACAUCAGAUUACUUAUUUAUAUCCAGGUAAAUUUUCUAAAGAGCAAUGAUACAAGAGUUGUAAUUUGUAAAAAGUUUCAAUAUUGUAGACCAAAUGGAUGUUACGGUGAUGUUGUUAUUCUACAUUUGUGCUCUGCUAUGUAGUUGUUUCUCUUAUCGACGCAUGUAGUGAUAGGUUCAACUGGAGUCGACAACUUCAUAAGUUUACUUUCAAAGAACAUUUUCAGAGACGAACAUUCUCGGUUGGUCGUUUAUGCUUCUGCAGAAAAUCUUGUUAGAUGUAUUAUAAUGCUAUUUAAAAUAUUUUUUGAUUAAGGGUUGGGAUU